rnacentral:rRNA from 1 species
GGUUAAGCGACUAAGCGUACACGGUGGAUGCCCUGGCAGUCAGAGGCGAUGAAGGACGUGCUAAUCUGCGAAAAGCGACGGCGAGGUGAUAUGAACCUUUGACCCGUCGAUGUCCGAAUGGGGAAACCCAGUGCAAUCCGUUGCACUAUCGUUAACUGAAUACAUAGGUUAACGAGGCGAACCGGGGGAACUGAAACAUCUAAGUACCCCGAGGAAAAGAAAUCAACCGAGAUUCCCCCAGUAGCGGCGAGCGAACGGGGAGCAGCCCGGAGUCUGAAUCAGCUUGUGUGUUAGUGGAAGCGUCUGGAAAGUCGCACGGUACAGGGUGACAGUCCCGUACACGAAAAUGCACAGGUUGUGAACUCGAAGAGUAGGGCGGGACACGUGGUAUCCUGUCUGAAUAUGGGGGGACCAUCCUCCAAGGCUAAAUACUCCUGACUGACCGAUAGUGAACCAGUACCGUGAGGGAAAGGCGAAAAGAACCCCGGCGAGGGGAGUGAAAAAGAACCUGAAACCGUGUACGUACAAGCAGUGGGAGCACCUUCGGGUGUGACUGCGUACCUUUUGUAUAAUGGGUCAGCGACUUAUAUUCUGUAGCAAGGUUAACCGUAUAGGGGAGCCGCAGGGAAACCGAGUCUUAACUGGGCGUUAAGUUGCAGGGUAUAGACCCGAAACCCGGUGAUCUAGCCAUGGGCAGGUUGAAGGUUGGGUAACACUAACUGGAGGACCGAACCGACUAAUGUUGAAAAAUUAGCGGAUGACCUGUGGCUGGGGGUGAAAGGCCAAUCAAACCGGGAGAUAGCUGGUUCUCCCCGAAAGCUAUUUAGGUAGCGCCUCGUGAACUCAUCUUCGGGGGUAGAGCACUGUUUCGGCUAGGGGGCCAUCCCGGCUUACCAACCCGAUGCAAACUACGAAUACCGAAGAAUGUUAUCACGGGAGACACACGGCGGGUGCUAACGUCCGUCGUGAAGAGGGAAACAACCCAGACCGCCAGCUAAGGUCCCAAAGUCAUGGUUAAGUGGGAAACGAUGUGGGAAGGCACAGACAGCCAGGAUGUUGGCUUAGAAGCAGCCAUCAUUUAAAGAAAGCGUAAUAGCUCACUGGUCGAGUCGGCCUGCGCGGAAGAUGUAACGGGGCUAAACCAUGCACCGAAGCUGCGGCAGCGACACUUAUGUGUUGUUGGGUAGGGGAGCGUUCUGUAAGCCGUUGAAGGUGGCCUGUGAGGGUUGCUGGAGGUAUCAGAAGUGCGAAUGCUGACAUAAGUAACGAUAAAGCGGGUGAAAAGCCCGCUCGCCGGAAGACCAAGGGUUCCUGUCCAACGUUAAUCGGGGCAGGGUGAGUCGACCCCUAAGGCGAGGCCGAAAGGCGUAGUCGAUGGGAAACAGGUUAAUAUUCCUGUACUUGGUGUUACUGCGAAGGGGGGACGGAGAAGGCUAUGUCAGCCGGGCGACGGUUGUCCCGGUUUAAGCGUGUAGGUGUGUGUUCCAGGCAAAUCCGGUUCACUUUAACACUGAGGCGUGAUGACGAGGCACUACGGUGCUGAAGUGAUAAAUGCCCUGCUUCCAGGAAAAGCCUCUAAGCAUCAGGUAACACGAAAUCGUACCCCAAACCGACACAGGUGGUCAGGUAGAGAAUACCAAGGCGCUUGAGAGAACUCGGGUGAAGGAACUAGGCAAAAUGGUGCCGUAACUUCGGGAGAAGGCACGCUGAUAUGUAGGUGAAGUCCCUGCGGACGGAGCUGAAAUCAGUCGAAGAUACCAGCUGGCUGCAACUGUUUAUUAAAAACACAGCACUGUGCAAACACGAAAGUGGACGUAUACGGUGUGACGCCUGCCCGGUGCCGGAAGGUUAAUUGAUGGGGUUAGCGGCAACGCGAAGCUCUUGAUCGAAGCCCCGGUAAACGGCGGCCGUAACUAUAACGGUCCUAAGGUAGCGAAAUUCCUUGUCGGGUAAGUUCCGACCUGCACGAAUGGCGUAAUGAUGGCCAGGCUGUCUCCACCCGAGACUCAGUGAAAUUGAACUCGCUGUGAAGAUGCAGUGUACCCGCGGCAAGACGGAAAGACCCCGUGAACCUUUACUAUAGCUUGACACUGAACACUGGUCCUUGAUGUGUAGGAUAGGUGGGAGGCUUUGAAGCGUGGACGCCAGUCUGCGUGGAGCCGUCCUUGAAAUACCACCCUUUAAUGGCUGGUGUUCUAACGUGGACCCGUAAUCCGGGUUGCGGACAGUGUCUGGUGGGUAGUUUGACUGGGGCGGUCUCCUCCCAAAGAGUAACGGAGGAGCACGAAGGUUAGCUAAUCCUGGUCGGACAUCAGGAGGUUAGUGCAAUGGCAUAAGCUAGCUUGACUGCGAGAGUGACGGCUCGAGCAGGUGCGAAAGCAGGUCAUAGUGAUCCGGUGGUUCUGAAUGGAAGGGCCAUCGCUCAACGGAUAAAAGGUACUCCGGGGAUAACAGGCUGAUACCGCCCAAGAGUUCAUAUCGACGGCGGUGUUUGGCACCUCGAUGUCGGCUCAUCACAUCCUGGGGCUGAAGUAGGUCCCAAGGGUAUGGCUGUUCGCCAUUUAAAGUGGUACGCGAGCUGGGUUUAGAACGUCGUGAGACAGUUCGGUCCCUAUCUGCCGUGGGCGCUGGAGAAUUGAGGGGGGCUGCUCCUAGUACGAGAGGACCGGAGUGGACGCAUCACUGGUGUUCGGGUUGUCAUGCCAAUGGCACUGCCCGGUAGCUAAAUGCGGAAGAGAUAAGUGCUGAAAGCAUCUAAGCACGAAACUUGCCCCGAGAUGAGUUCUCCCUGAGACUUUAAGUCUCCUGAAGGAACGUUGAAGACGACGACGUUGAUAGGCCGGGUGUGUAAGCGCAGCGAUGCGUUGAGCUAACCGGUACUAAUGAACCGUGAGGCUUAACCUU